UGAGUUGUGGUUAGGGGUGAAAUACCAAUCGAAUUCGGAGCUAGCUGGUUCUCCCCGAAAUGUGUUUAGGCGCAGCGGUUAAUAUUAUAGCUUAGAGGUAAAGCACUGUUUCGGUGCGGGCCGCGAGAGCGGUACCAAAUCGAGGCAAACUCUGAAUACUAAGUGAACAGUUAACCAGUAAGACUGUGGGGGAUAAGCUUCAUAGUCAAGAGGGAAACAGCCCAGAUCACCAGUUAAGGCCCCUAAAUAAUUAUUAAGUGGUAAAGGAGGUGGGAAGACUCAGACAGCCAGGAGGUUUGCUUAGAAGCAGCAAUCCUUUAAAGAGUGCGUAAUAGCUCACUGGUCAAGUGAUUCCGCGCCGACAAUGUAACGGGGCUCAAGCACACCACCGAAGUUGUAGAUUUCGCACUAUAGACAAGCCUUCGUGG
rnacentral:rRNA from 1 species